GAUGAACGCUGGCGGCGUGCCUAAUACAUGCAAGUCGAGCGAACGGACGAGAAGCUUGCUUCUCUGAUGUUAGCGGCGGACGGGUGAGUAACACGUGGAUAACCUACCUAUAAGACUGGGAUAACUUCGGGAAACCGGAGCUAAUACCGGAUAAUAUUUUGAACCGCAUGGUUCAAAAGUGAAAGACGGUCUUGCUGUCACUUAUAGAUGGAUCCGCGCUGCAUUAGCUAGUUGGUAAGGUAACGGCUUACCAAGGCAACGAUGCAUAGCCGACCUGAGAGGGUGAUCGGCCACACUGGAACUGAGACACGGUCCAGACUCCUACGGGAGGCAGCAGUAGGGAAUCUUCCGCAAUGGGCGAAAGCCUGACGGAGCAACGCCGCGUGAGUGAUGAGGGUCUUCGGAUCGUAAAACUCUGUUAUUAGGGAAGAACAUAUGUGUAAGUAACUGUGCACAUCUUGACGGUACCUAAUCAGAAAGCCACGGCUAACUACGUGCCAGCAGCCGCGGUAAUACGUAGGUGGCAAGCGUUAUCCGGAAUUAUUGGGCGUAAAGCGCGCGUAGGCGGUUUUUUAAGUCUGAUGUGAAAGCCCACGGCUCAACCGUGGAGGGUCAUUGGAAACUGGAAAACUUGAGUGCAGAAGAGGAAAGUGGAAUUCCAUGUGUAGCGGUGAAAUGCGCAGAGAUAUGGAGGAACACCAGUGGCGAAGGCGACUUUCUGGUCUGUAACUGACGCUGAUGUGCGAAAGCGUGGGGAUCAAACAGGAUUAGAUACCCUGGUAGUCCACGCCGUAAACGAUGAGUGCUAAGUGUUAGGGGGUUUCCGCCCCUUAGUGCUGCAGCUAACGCAUUAAGCACUCCGCCUGGGGAGUACGACCGCAAGGUUGAAACUCAAAGGAAUUGACGGGGACCCGCACAAGCGGUGGAGCAUGUGGUUUAAUUCGAAGCAACGCGAAGAACCUUACCAAAUCUUGACAUCCUUUGACAACUCUAGAGAUAGAGCCUUCCCCUUCGGGGGACAAAGUGACAGGUGGUGCAUGGUUGCCGUCAGCUCGUGUCGUGAGAUGUUGGGUUAAGUCCCGCAACGAGCGCAACCCUUAAGCUUAGUUGCCAUCAUUAAGUUGGGCACUCUAAGUUGACUGCCGGUGACAAACCGGAGGAAGGUGGGGAUGACGUCAAAUCAUCAUGCCCCUUAUGAUUUGGGCUACACACGUGCUACAAUGGACAAUACAAAGGGCAGCGAAACCGCGAGGUCAAGCAAAUCCCAUAAAGUUGUUCUCAGUUCGGAUUGUAGUCUGCAACUCGACUACAUGAAGCUGGAAUCGCUAGUAAUCGUAGAUCAGCAUGCUACGGUGAAUACGUUCCCGGGUCU
rnacentral:rRNA from 1 species